GGUCUAUUAGUCUAGUUGGUUAGGACGUCGGAUUCUGAUGCAAAAGCAUUUCCUUCCGUAAGCCCAGGUUCGAAUCCUGGAUGGACCU
rnacentral:tRNA from 1 species